AUGGCUGAGCGGUAAAGCGCUAGGCUUCCAAACCAACAGUCCCGGGUUUGAAUCCUGGU
rnacentral:tRNA from 1 species